rnacentral:rRNA from 1 species
GACGAACGCUGGCGGCGUGCUUAACACAUGCAAGUCGAACGAUGAAGCGGUGCUUGCACCGUGGAUUAGUGGCGAACGGGUGAGUAACACGUGAGUAACCUGCCUUCCACUCUGGGAUAAGCGCUGGAAACGGCGUCUAAUACUGGAUAUGACAUUGCCUCGCAUGGGGUGGUGUGGAAAGAUUUUUUGGUGGUAGAUGGACUCGCGGCCUAUCAGCUUGUUGGUGGGGUAAUGGCCUACCAAGGCGACGACGGGUAGCCGGCCUGAGAGGGUGACCGGCCACACUGGGACUGAGACACGGCCCAGACUCCUACGGGAGGCAGCAGUGGGGAAUAUUGCACAAUGGGCGAAAGCCUGAUGCAGCGACGCCGCGUGAGGGAUGACGGCCUUCGGGUUGUAAACCUCUUCAGCUCUGACGAAA